GUGAAGAACGCAGCGAAAUGCGAUAAGUAAUGUGAAUUGCAGAAUUCAGUGAAUCAUCGAAUCUUUGAACGCACAUUGCGCCCGCCAGUAUUCUGGCGGGCAUGCCUGUUCGAGCGUCAUUACAACCCUCAGGCCCCCGGGCCUGGCGUUGGGGAUCGGCGGAAGCCCCCUGCGGGCACAACGCCGUCCCCCAAAUACAGUGGCGGUCCCGCCGCAGCUUCCAUUGCGUAGUAGCUAACACCUCGCAACUGGAGAGCGGCGCGGCCACGCCGUAAAACACCCAACUUCUGAAUGUUGACCUCGAAUCAGGUAGGAAUACCCGCUGAACUUAAGCAUAUCAAUAAGCGGAGGA
rnacentral:misc_RNA from 1 species